AAAUGACCAGGCUGUGACAUGUCACCCCAUUGAUCAGCAGGGUUGAUUCGGCUGAUCUGGCUAGCUAGGCAUGGGUGUCUCCUUCCUUCCUCACCACUCCAUGUGUGUCUCUCCCGAAACUGUCCGGGUUUAACCAGUUUUUCUGUCAAGGGGUAUACAAUUGCUCGCCUGCUAGAGCCUCCAAACAAAGCUCUCAAGCUCUAUUUGUAGGAAAACUGGAUAUCAAACUUCCAAGAUUCCAGACACAUCCAAAUGAGGCAAUGCCUUUCCCC
rnacentral:snRNA from 1 species